GGGUUGUGAGGUUAAGCGACUAAGCGUACACGGUGGAUGCCCUGGCAGUCAGAGGCGAUGAAGGGCGUGCUAAUCUGCGAUAAGCGCCGGUAAGGUGAUAUGAACCGUUAUAACCGGCGAUACCCGAAUGGGGAAACCCAGUGUGACUCGUCACACUAUCAUUAACUGAAUCCAUAGGUUAAUGAGGCGAACCGGGGGAACUGAAACAUCUAAGUACCCCGAGGAAAAGAAAUCAACCGAGAUUCCCCCAGUAGCGGCGAGCGAACGGGGAGGAGCCCAGAGCCUGAAUCAGCAUGUGUGUUAGUGGAAGCGUCUGGAAAGGCGCGCGAUACAGGGUGACAGCCCCGUACACAAAAGCGCAUGUGCUGUGAGCUCGAUGAGUAGGGCGGGACACGUGGUAUCCUGUCUGAAUAUGGGGGGACCAUCCUCCAAGGCUAAAUACUCCUGACUGACCGAUAGUGAACCAGUACCGUGAGGGAAAGGCGAAAAGAACCCCGGCGAGGGGAGUGAAAAAGAACCUGAAACCGUGUACGUACAAGCAGUGGGAGCCCCACCACUAAGCCAGUGGUGAACUCCACAUACGCAUCCUUUGCUGAGGAUACGGUUAACGGAGCGAAAGCGACGUUCAACCGCAAAAGAAGCAGAGGGGGCUUAGUGGUGGGGUGACUGCGUACCUUUUGUAUAAUGGGUCAGCGACUUAUAUUCUGUAGCAAGGUUAACCGUAUAGGGGAGCCGCAGGGAAACCGAGUCUUAAUUGGGCGUUAAGUUGCAGGGUAUAGACCCGAAACCCGGUGAUCUAGCCAUGGGCAGGUUGAAGGUUGGGUAACACUAACUGGAGGACCGAACCGACUAAUGUUGAAAAAUUAGCGGAUGACCUGUGGCUGGGGGUGAAAGGCCAAUCAAACCGGGAGAUAGCUGGUUCUCCCCGAAAGCUAUUUAGGUAGCGCCUCGUGAAUUCAUCUCCGGGGGUAGAGCACUGUUUCGGCUAGGGGGCCAUCCCGGCUUACCAACCCGAUGCAAACUGCGAAUACCGGAGAAUGUUAUCACGGGAGACACACGGCGGGUGCUAACGUCCGUCGUGAAGAGGGAAACAACCCAGACCGCCAGCUAAGGUCCCAAAGUCAUGGUUAAGUGGGAAACGAUGUGGGAAGGCCCAGACAGCCAGGAUGUUGGCUUAGAAGCAGCCAUCAUUUAAAGAAAGCGUAAUAGCUCACUGGUCGAGUCGGCCUGCGCGGAAGAUGUAACGGGGCUAAACCAUGCACCGAAGCUGCGGCAGCGACACUCAGGUGUUGUUGGGUAGGGGAGCGUUCUGUAAGCCUGCGAAGGUGGCCUGUGAGGGUUGCUGGAGGUAUCAGAAGUGCGAAUGCUGACAUAAGUAACGAUAAAGCGGGUGAAAAGCCCGCUCGCCGGAAGACCAAGGGUUCCUGUCCAACGUUAAUCGGGGCAGGGUGAGUCGACCCCUAAGGCGAGGCCGAAAGGCGUAGUCGAUGGGAAACGGGUUAAUAUUCCCGUACUUGGUGUUACUGCGAAGGGGGGACGGAGAAGGCUAUGUUGGCCGGGCGACGGUUGUCCCGGUUUAAGCGUGUAGGUGUGUGUUCCAGGUAAAUCCGGUUCACUUUAACACUGAGGCGUGAUGACGAGGCACUACGGUGCUGAAGCAACAAAUGCCCUGCUUCCAGGAAAAGCCUCUAAGCAUCAGGUAACAUCAAAUCGUACCCCAAACCGACACAGGUGGUCAGGUAGAGAAUACCAAGGCGCUUGAGAGAACUCGGGUGAAGGAACUAGGCAAAAUGGUGCCGUAACUUCGGGAGAAGGCACGCUGACACGUAGGUGAAGUGAUUUACUCAUGGAGCUGAAGUCAGUCGAAGAUACCAGCUGGCUGCAACUGUUUAUUAAAAACACAGCACUGUGCAAACACGAAAGUGGACGUAUACGGUGUGACGCCUGCCCGGUGCCGGAAGGUUAAUUGAUGGGGUCAGCGCAAGCGAAGCUCCUGAUCGAAGCCCCGGUAAACGGCGGCCGUAACUAUAACGGUCCUAAGGUAGCGAAAUUCCUUGUCGGGUAAGUUCCGACCUGCACGAAUGGCGUAAUGAUGGCCAGGCUGUCUCCACCCGAGACUCAGUGAAAUUGAACUCGCUGUGAAGAUGCAGUGUACCCGCGGCAAGACGGAAAGACCCCGUGAACCUUUACUAUAGCUUGACACUGAACAUUGAGCCUUGAUGUGUAGGAUAGGUGGGAGGCUUUGAAGUGUGGACGCCAGUCUGCAUGGAGCCGACCUUGAAAUACCACCCUUUAAUGUUUGAUGUUCUAACGUGGACCCGUGAUCCGGGUUGCGGACAGUGUCUGGUGGGUAGUUUGACUGGGGCGGUCUCCUCCUAAAGAGUAACGGAGGAGCACGAAGGUUGGCUAAUCCUGGUCGGACAUCAGGAGGUUAGUGCAAUGGCAUAAGCCAGCUUGACUGCGAGCGUGACGGCGCGAGCAGGUGCGAAAGCAGGUCAUAGUGAUCCGGUGGUUCUGAAUGGAAGGGCCAUCGCUCAACGGAUAAAAGGUACUCCGGGGAUAACAGGCUGAUACCGCCCAAGAGUUCAUAUCGACGGCGGUGUUUGGCACCUCGAUGUCGGCUCAUCACAUCCUGGGGCUGAAGUAGGUCCCAAGGGUAUGGCUGUUCGCCAUUUAAAGUGGUACGCGAGCUGGGUUUAGAACGUCGUGAGACAGUUCGGUCCCUAUCUGCCGUGGGCGCUGGAGAACUGAGGGGGGCUGCUCCUAGUACGAGAGGACCGGAGUGGACGCAUCACUGGUGUUCGGGUUGUCAUGCCAAUGGCACUGCCCGGUAGCUAAAUGCGGAAGAGAUAAGUGCUGAAAGCAUCUAAGCACGAAACUUGCCCCGAGAUGAGUUCUCCCUGAGACUUAGAGUCUCCUGAAGGAACGUUGAAGACGACGACGUUGAUAGGCCGGGUGUGUAAGCGCAGCGAUGCGUUGAGCUAACCGGUACUAAUGAACCGUGAGGCUUAACCUUACAACGCCGAAG
rnacentral:rRNA from 1 species